rnacentral:lncRNA from 1 species
GAAAGAAGUGAAAAGGGACUGAAUUGAAGACAAUUGAAAGAUGGAGGACUAAAGGUGCAAAUACUCAAAAGAUGUGCCGAAUGAGUGGUAUGAGAUUUGAUGGUGUCAAUCAUCAAUUGGAAGAUAAAAUUUGUUGAAAAGAUGAAGAAAUCGAAGAAAGAAGUCAAGAGAAGCAACAAGGAAGUUCAGGGACCAAAAUGUAAGGACUACAUAGUUGGUUAUAUCUAUGCGAUUGCAUAGUGUAACCAUCUAUGCGGUCACAUAGAUGGUUCCAGGAAAUGUUGGGGGAAAAUUUAUUGGUCUAUGAGACCGCAUAGAAUCCUUCUAUGCGGUCGCAUAGUGAUAAUUCGGGGGCCUCCGUUGCAGUUUUUUGUUUUCGUUGAAACUCUUUUCCUACUUGAUUUUUACGCGAUAUAAAUACCCAAAAAUCAUAAAAUUGAGGGCAGGAACAACCAGAGAGAAGAAAUACACUCAAUUUGAAGGCAAGAAACACAAUCUUGGGCUUGAUUUCACAAGGAUUCAAGAAGGAAUUGAAGAUUACACACAAAAUUGAAGGAUUAUCAUACGGGUGUAUUCUUUAUAUCUUUUAAUUUUGUUUUAAUUCUUGAUUCUGUAAUUAUGAUCAUAGGCUAGGGUUUUUAUUCAUUAGGAAAUCGAUGAACCUUUGAUUAUUUAAUUUCCUUUAUUUCAUAAAUUCAAUAUAAAGUUUCAGUUGGACAAUUGU